rnacentral:rRNA from 1 species
CCUACGGGAGGCAGCAGUGGGGAAUAUUGGACAAUGGGCGAAAGCCUGAUCCAGCCAUGCCGCGUGUGUGAAGAAGGCCUUCGGGUUGUAAAGCACUUUCAGUGGGGAAGAAAGCCUUGGGGCUAAUACCCUCGAGGAAGGACAUCACCCACAGAAGAAGCACCGGCUAACUCCGUGCCAGCAGCCGCGGUAAUACGGAGGGUGCGAGCGUUAAUCGGAAUUACUGGGCGUAAAGCGCGCGUAGGCGGUCUGAUAAGCCGGUUGUGAAAGCCCCGGGCUCAACCUGGGAACGGCAUCCGGAACUGUCAGGCUAGAGUGCAGGAGAGGAAGGUAGAAUUCCCGGUGUAGCGGUGAAAUGCGUAGAGAUCGGGAGGAAUACCAGUGGCGAAGGCGGCCUUCUGGACUGACACUGACGCUGAGGUGCGAAAGCGUGGGUAGCAAACAGGAUUAGAUACCCUGUAGUC